UCAAGCAAGAAAGAGCACAAGGAGAAUGCCUUGGCACUAGGAGCCGAUGAAAGACGUGGUAAGCUGCGAAAAGCUUCGGGGAGGCGCAAACAGCCAUCGAUCCGGAGAUAUCUGAAUGGGGAAACCUACUUGAGCAAACCUCAAGUAUCCAUGCGUGAAUCCAUAGCGUAUGGAAGGGAACGCUGUGAACUGAAACAUCUAAGUAGCAGUAGGAGGAGAAAGAAAACUCGAUUUCCUAAGUAGCGGCGAGCGAACGGGAAAGAGGCCAAACCGAAGGACCUGGUUCUUCGGGGUUGUGGACUGCAUUUAGCAUUGCUGAGAGAUAGACGAAUGGUUUUGGGAAAGCCAGCCGUAGACGGUGAAAGCCCGGUAGACGAAAUCUUGAAGCAGCGAGCAGGAUCCAGAGUACCACGAGACACGAGAAACCUUGUGGGAAGCCGGGGGGACCACCCCCCAAGCCUAAAUACUCCCUAGUGACCGAUAGUGAAGCAGUACUGUGAAGGAAAGGUGAAAAGGACCCCGGGAGGGGAGUGAAAGAGAACCUGAAACCUUGUGCUUACAAACAGUCAAAGGCCUUCGGGCUGAUGGCGUACUUUUUGUAGAACGGUCCGGCGAGUUACUAAUGCCAGCGAGGUUAAGUGGUCAGAAGCCACGGAGCCGAAGGGAAACCAAGUCUGAAUAGGGCGUAGAGUUGGUAUUAGUAGACCCGAAACCGGGUGACCUAUCCAUGUCCAGGUUGAAGGAACCGUAAAAGGUUUUGGAGGACCGAACACACAUGUGUUGAAAAACGUGGUGAUGAGGUGUGGAUAGCGGAGAAAUUCCAAUCGAACUCGGAGAUAGCUGGUUCUCCUCGAAAUAGCUUUAGGGCUAGCCUCGAGCUGGAGUCUAACGGAGGUAAAGCACUGAACUGACGCGGGGCCCAAAAAGGUUACCAACUCAUAUCAAACUAAGAAUGCCGUCAAGAUACCCUCGGGAGUCAGUCUGCGUGAGAUAAGUCGCGUGGACAAAAGGGAAAGAGCCCAGACCGACAGCUAAGGUCCCAAAGUACGUGUUAAGUGGAAAAGGAUGUGGGAUUUCAUAGACAACUAGGAUGUUGGCUUAGAAGCAGCCAUACAUUUAAAGAGUGCGUAAUAGCUCACUAGUCGAGAAAACCUGCGCCGAAAAUGUAACGGGGCUAAAACACGACACCGAAGCUACGGAUUUCCUACUAGGUAGGAAGUGGUAGAGGAGCAUCCUGCAAGGACGAAGCCAAAGUGAGAGCGAUGGUGGACGAAACAGGAGAGAGAAUGCCGGAAUGAGUAGCGAGAUACAUGUGAGAAACAUGUAGGCCGAAUAUCUAAGGAUUCCUGGGUAAAGCUAAUCUUCCCAGGGUUAGUCGGGGCCUAAGGCGAGGACGAGAGUCGUAGUCGAUGGAUAACAGGUUGAUAUUCCUGUACUACACAUAAUCAGAACUGUGGGGACGCAGGAGGAUAGGGAAACCGGGGAAUGGAAAGACCCGGUCAAGCGCAAAGCUGUGGGAGAUAGGCAAAUCCGUCUCCUGUAAGUGAAGCGUGAUGAGGACUGAAAAAAAGUAAGGAAGUUUCCGAAUCCACACUGCCGAGAAAAGCCGCUAUUGCGUUAUGUGUACCCGUACCGUAAACCGACACAGGUAGAUGAGGAGAAAAUCCACAGGCCGACGGGAGAAGUGUUGUUAAGGAACUCGGCAAAAUGACCCCGUAACUUCGGGAUAAGGGGAGCCUCGCAAGAGGCCGCAGAAAAGAGGCACAAGCAACUGUUUAGCAAAAACAUAGGUCUAUGCGAAACCGUAAGGUGAAGUAUAUGGGCUGACGCCUGCCCGGUGCUGGAAGGUUAAAAGGAGAGGUCAGCGCAAGCGAAGCUUUGAAUUCAAGCCCCAGUAAACGGCGGCCGUAACUAUAACGGUCCUAAGGUAGCGAAAUUCCUUGUCAGGUAAGUUCUGACCCGCACGAAAGG
rnacentral:rRNA from 1 species